GAAACGACUGCUAAGACUGGAUAGGAAAUAAAAAGGCAUCUUUUUAUUUUUAAAAGACCUUUUUCGGAAGGUAUGCUUAAAGAGGGGCUUGCGUCACAUUAGUUAGUUGGCAGGGUAAAAGCCUACCAAGACUAUGAUGUGUAGCUGGACUGAGAGGUUGAACAGCCACAUUGGGACUGAGACACGGCCCAAACUCCUACGGGAGGCAGCAGUAGGGAAUUUUCGGCAAUGGAGGAAACUCUGACCGAGCAACGCCGCGUGAACGAUGAAGUAUUUCGGUAUGUAAAGUUCUUUUAUUGAAGAAGAAAAAAUAGUGGAAAAACUAUCCUGACGAUAUUCAAUGAAUAAGCCCCGGCAAACUAUGUGCCAGCAGCCGCGGUAAUACAUAGGGGGGCGAGCGUUAUCCGGAAUUAUUGGGCGUAAAGGGUGCGUAGGCGGUUUAAUAAGUCUAUAGUUUAAUUUCAGUGCUUAACACUGUCCUGCUAUAGAAACUAUUAGACUAGAGUGAGAUAGAGGCAAGUAGAAUUCCAUGUGUAGCGGUAAAAUGCGUAAAUAUAUGGAGGAACACCAGAGGCGUAGGCGGCUUGCUGGGUCUUUACUGACGCUGAGGCACGAAGGCGUGGGGAGCAAACAGGAUUAGAUACCCUGGUAGUCCACGCCGUAAACGAUGAGUACUAAGUGUCGGGAUUACUCGGUACUGAAGUUAACACAUUAAGUACUCCGCCUGAGUAGUACGUACGCAAGUAUGAGACUUAAAGGAAUUGACAGGACUCCGCACAAGCGGUGGAUCAUGUUGUUUAAUUCGAAGAUACACGAAAAACCUUACCAGGUCUUGACAUACUCUGCAAAGCUAUAGCAAUAUAGUGGAGGUUAUCAGGGAUACAGGUGGUGCAUGGUUGUCGUCAGCUCGUGUCGUGAGAUGUUAGGUUAAGUCCUAAAACGAGCGCAACCCUUGUCAUUAGUUGCCAGCAUGUCAUGAUGGGCACUUUAAUGAGACUGCCAAUGAAAAAUUGGAGGAAGGUGAGGAUCACGUCAAAUCGUCAUGCCCCUUAUGAUCUGGGCUACAAACGUGAUACAAUGGCUGUUACAAAGAGUAGCUGAAACGUAAGUUUAUAGCCAAUCCCAUAAAAGCAGUCUCAGUUCGGAUUGAAGUCUGCAACUCGACUUCAUGAAGUUGGAAUCGCUAGUAAUCGCGAAUCAGCAUGUCGCGGUGAAUACGUUCACGGGGUUUGUACACACCGCCCGUCA
rnacentral:rRNA from 1 species